GAUGAAGAACGCAGCGAAAUGCGAUAAGUAAUGUGAAUUGCAGAAUUCAGUGAAUCAUCGAAUCUUUGAACGCAUCUUGCGCUCCUUGGUAUUCUGAGGAGCAUGCCUGUUUGAGUGUCAUUAAAUUCUCAACUACACUGACUUUGAAUUGGUGUGGCUUGGAUUUGGGGGGAAAAUUGUUGUGGGCUUUUUGUAUAGUCUGCUCCCCUGAAAUUGAUUAGCGGUACCUUUGUGGAACUGUCUACAGGUGUGAUAAUUAUCUACAUCUUAGACAUCUGCUGGAAUGCUGCUUUCUAAACCUUACUUGUAUUGACAAUCUUGACCUCAAAAUCAGGUAGGACUACCCGCUGAACUUAAGCAUAUCAAUAAGCGGAGGA
rnacentral:misc_RNA from 1 species